UACGUAGGGUGCGAGCGUUGCCCGGAUUUAUUGGGCGUAAAGGGUGCGUAGGCGGGUCUUUAAGUCAGGGGUGAAAUCCUGGAGCUCAACUCCAGAACUGCCUUUGAUACUGAGGAUCUUGAGUUCGGGAGAGGCGAGUGGAACUGCGAGUGUAGAGGUGAAAUUCGUAGAUAUUCGCAAGAACACCAGUGGCGAAGGCGGCUCACUGGCCCGAUACUGACGCUGAGGCACGAAAGCGUGGGGAGCAAACAGG
rnacentral:rRNA from 1 species